AUUGAACGCUGGCGGCAUGCCUUACACAUGCAAGUCGAACGGUAACAGGUCUUCGGAUGCUGACGAGUGGCGAACGGGUGAGUAAUACAUCGGAACGUGCCCGAUCGUGGGGGAUAACGAAGCGAAAGCUUUGCUAAUACCGCAUAAGAUCUACGGAUGAAAGCAGGGGACCGCAAGGCCUUGCGCGAACGGAGCGGCCGAUGGCAGAUGAGGUAGUUGGUGGGAUAAAAGCUUACCAAGCCGACGAUCUGUAGCUGGUCUGAGAGGACGACCAGCCACACUGGGACUGAGACACGGCCCAGACUCCUAUGGGAGGCAGCAGUGGGGAAUUUUGGACAAUGGGCGAAAGCCUGAUCCAGCCAUGCCGCGUGCAGGAUGAAGGCCUUCGGGUUGUAAACUGCUUUUGUACGGAACGAAAAGACUCUUUCUAAUAAAGAGGGUCCAUGACGGUACCGUAAGAAUAAGCACCGGCUAACUACGUGCCAGCAGCCGCCGUAAAAC
rnacentral:rRNA from 1 species